ACAAGCCAGGGGGAGAUGCCUGAAACAAACCUUCCCUCACAGCCCUCUGAAGAAACCAUUGCUGUCAAAACCUCAGCUUCAAACUUCUAAUCUCCAGAACUGAUUCCUGUGAUUAGAUUGUACCCACUGGAUAAUUGACGAUACCUUCCCCAUCUCAAGGUGCCACUGUGUCCCAACAUGCAUGAGCAAGAGUUCUUUCUGGAAGAUGUGAACAGAGCUUGGAAGCAUACAGCAGUCUGCACAAAUACUCAUAAGAUCCUUCAUGAGAUGGAAUGGACCUAUAGUGAUAAGAAGAUGGAGGUAGUGCCUCUACCAUCAGGCAUGGGAUUUGACCCUUGAGGUUAAUUUGAAGUUAUUUUAACACUAUAGGAAUAAAGAACAUAUUCUAUUUAA